GAUGGAAGCUAUCUUUAAUAUCCUUUGCUUCAGAUGAAGCAAACUCUAAUAUCCUUUGCUUCCGAUGAAGAAUCUGAGGAGCUGCCAUGCUCUUGAUCAGACUUCAGUUUCUGCAGCCUCGCAGGUCACACGCUUCCUUGAAGGUCACACGGGCGGUUCAUGGCAGGCUGGGACUGCAACCUAGCUCGGUUUGUCUGACUCCAGGCUUGUCAUCGCGGGAGGCGUUUAGGGGGCUUGAGGUCCCCCACCUUGUGCAUCAAGGACCAGCCUAGAUCUAACGGAGUUGACAGCGAGGCGGGAAUCCCAGCCUUCCCUGCGAAGGGAGGGCGCAAGGGGGCACCGCUGUUGAGGGCGAGCGGCAACCAUGCCGACAGCUGUUGUGCACUAGCUGGGAUGGGGUGGAGGGAACUACAGUUCCCAGGAAGCAGUGCGGCUCCCUGGCUGCCCCGCUCAGGCCACGCCUAGACCACGCCCCCACCCGCCUCGGCCACGCCCCGGCCACGCCCCCGGGCGGGCUGGUAUAUAAGGGCCGAAUGGCCCGGCGGCGGGCAGAGCGCGGAGGCGGCGCGGGCGCGCGCGGGGCUGCCGGGGCCGGAGGAGGCUGCUGCUCGCCCGCGCACCUACGAGCUCCGGGCCGCGGGCCGAGCUGCCCCGGGCGCUGUCCGGGCCUGCAGAGGGGAUGCCGGCGGGGACCUCGGGCUCGCGCCGGCGUUGCGCAGCAAAGAAAGGCGAGGCGCGGCGUCGGGGCUGCGCGCCCUGGAGCUCCGGGACGCGGCACUUGGGAACCCCCGCGGCGAGCUCCCGCCAUCUCCGCGCGGCCGGAGCGCGCAGCCCGGGGCUGGCCUCGGGUGGAAAGUGCGGGGAAUGGGGCGAGGGGCUCCGGACCCCCCACCGUGGAUUACUUGGUGUGCAUCAGCCGGGCUCAGACGACCCCCACCCCCGCGACCUCGUCUGCGUCCUGGGCUUGCUUCCUUCCACCUGGCAGUCGGGGCGCAUACCUGGCAGAGGGCCUGGAGAAGCCAGCGUGUCCCUGCCCGUGUCACCGAGAGGCCGGCGUGGUGCGAGGAGGACGGGGUUCGCUCGGGGGGGCUCUCCCCUGCUCUUCUCCCGGCCCAGCCCCCACGGGCCCCGCAGGCCCCAAGCCCUGGGCCUGGCACGCUGCCCCCACCCUGGGGGGCCGCCCUCAGUUUUCAUCAUUGCUGACGACGCAUCCGCCUCAUGAAGCGGCUGAGACGGUGCCGAGGGGGACCCGUUGUGCCUUGAAGGAAAUUGUCUUGUCUUCCCUAUCUUUUGGAGUCUGCCCCACUUAG
rnacentral:lncRNA from 12 species